rnacentral:rRNA from 1 species
AUUGAACGCUGGCGGCGUGCCUAACACAUGCAAGUCGAGCGGUAACAGGUGUAGCAAUACAUGCUGACGAGCGGCGGACGGGUGGGUAACGCUUGGGAAUCUGCCUAUUAGUGGGGGACAACCCGGGGAAACUCGGGCUAAUACCGCAUACGCACUACGGUGGAAAGCCGGGGACCGCAAGGCCUGGCGCUAACAGAUGAGCCCAAGUCGGAUUAGCUAGUUGGUAGGGUAACGGCCUACCAAGGCGACGAUCCGUAACUGGUCUGAGAGGACGACCAGUCACACCGGAACUGAGACACGGUCCGGACUCCUACGGGAGGCAGCAGUGGGGAAUAUUGGACAAUGGGCGAAAGCCUGAUCCAGCGACGCCGCGUGGGUGAAGAAGGCCUGCGGGUUGUAAAGCCCUUUCAGUGGGGGAAGAAAAGCCUCGAGCUAACACCUCGGGGUCUUGACGUAACCCAUAGAAGAAGCACCGGCUAACUCUGUGCCAGCAGCCGCCGCAGUAAG